AGGGAAUAUUGGACAAUGGGCGAAAGCCUGAUCCAGCAAUGCCGCGUGAGUGAUGAAGGCCUUAGGGUUGUAAAGCUCUUUUACCCGGGAUGAUAAUGACAGUACCGGGAGAAUAAGCCCCGGCUAACUCCGUGCCAGCAGCCGCGGUAAUACGGGGGGAGCAAGCGUUGUUCGGAAUCACUGGGCGUAAAGGGCGUGUAGGCGGUCAAGUAAGUGUGAUGUGAAAUCCCUCGGCUCACCCGAGGACCGGCAUCGCAUACUGCUUGGCUUGAGUACGGGAGAGGAUGUGGGAAUUCCUGGUGUAGCGGUGAAAUGCGUAGAUAUCAGGAGGAACACCGGUGGCGAAGGCGCACAUCUGGCCCGAUACUGACGCUGAGGCGCGAAAGCUAGGGGAGCAAA
rnacentral:rRNA from 1 species